AAGUGGCUUGAGGCCUAUGUGGCUUCGUCUGUCUGAGCAGUGCAAUCUAGCUGUUCAUACGCACAAGCUCACUCAGGCCUCAUCUAGUAACGACGUGCAAGUGCUUAUCAGUAUUUGCUGAUGGGCCUUCUGGUGGGGUUCCGAGGACUUUUGCCGGUGUGGUGCUGCCUCGAGUGGUGUGGUGCUGCCUCGAGGCAUCCCUCGCCCCGACGGUGAACUGAUGGAUGCUAACUUAGUCAAGUGCCUGCCCCCCGUCGUGUGCACUCCAUAGGUGGUUAGCACGAGUUUCUUGAACCCAGCACGCUUCCCUGCAAGGGAGAGUUGGGUGAGAGACUGAGCUUCGUGCCUUAAUAGGGAGGGGUCGGGUACGUACAGGUUUUCCGGGUUUCCUGUGUCAUAGUGAACCCUCACCCCAAGAGCUGGAUCAGGCCGGGGAUGGAGAGGAGUCUUGCUGUGUGUUUGAGGCUCAGUGUGCAAACAUGCAUGACAGAGCCUUGACUCGUGAGAGUGUGUGCACGUGCUCACACCUCCCAACCCCAGGGGAGGAGAGUGGAACUAGCGGACCUGCGGCUCU
rnacentral:lncRNA from 1 species